AUGUCUGUAUUAUAAUAUUGUCAUUUUAGAGAAACGCUGGAAAAAGUAUAAUGGUCAUUGCUAUUAUUUUACUACAAGCAGCCACAGGGCAACUUGGUUUAAAGCAGAGAGCUAUUGCAGGAAAAUCGGAGGAUACUUAGUGAAACUUGACACAACGUCAGAAAACAAAUGGGUAUAUGCACAUAGAUCCCACAAUAAUGCCUUUUGGAUCGGUUUAACGGAUCUCUACGAAGGACAUUUCCGAUGGAUUUUCGACCAAUCAAAAACCACUUUCACAAACUGGGUAAGUGGGUAUGGAUCAAAGGGAACCAGCAGCAAUUGUGUAUCUUACAACAGUGGCAAUAAACCAGAGUGGUAUGACAACAGCUGUUACAACAGUCGCCCGUUCAUAUGCGAGACUAACUAUUGUGGGUAGACAGAUGGUUGAAAAGAAGAGAUUAUACGAUUUUAUUAUAAUGUCAAUAAAUCUGCAUCAACUCAC